AGUUAUUAAAAAUGAAAACAAGACAGACGUUCGCAGUAGCAGUGAGUAUCGUUCUGCCCAAAUAAUUGGAGUAGCAGUUGGUGGUUCUACAGCAGUUUUGUUUGCGAUUGUAGCAAUAAGUGUCAUCAUAUAUAAAUACAGAAAGAGAAACAGUACAAAUAAUAGCAAACAUGAUUACGCAACACCAGACAUCACUCAUGCACAGGUGGAAACAGAAUAUGACACAUUAGACAACUUGAAUGACAAUCAAGGCCAAGGCAACAACAGUUACGAAAAUGAGAGAGUCAGUGCCUUUUAACAUUCUACAUUUGUUUUAUUUUUAUUGAACAAAAGGUUGCAUGAUACGCAAA